GACUUUUGCAGGGCUGUGCCUCCUUCCCUCCCCAGACAAAAUCCAUCACGUCAGCAGUCACAGGGCACCCUGGUUCCCUCUCUGAAUGAACUGUUAAAUGACUAAGCUGGCUCCCAACAGAGGCAGAGCCCAGCAAUAUGCGGCCUGUAAUCUGUCAGAUGAUACAGCAACAGGCCCAGUGAGGGGCCUGACACACCCCCCAGGAGAGUGGAGUCUCUGCAUGUGACGUGGAAGACGCCGAAGAGGUGAGGGAGGCACCAUAUGCUGCGGGCCUGCCAAGGGAGAAUAAACAGCACCGGAAGCCUGGCACAGAGCUCUGGCGGGAACGUCCACCAAGAUCGGUCAGGCACUCUCAUGGCGUCCUCCUGGAUACAGGCUUUUGCUUUUGUUUUUAAUUUUGGAGCAGUGAAGUUGAAAGUGAGGAGUGAGGACAAGGAGAAGACCCAUUUGCUCCUGUUCAUUCAAACAGCAUCUCUUCAUUUUGAAAUUGGCAAGAGGCAGUUCGGGGCUGUGGCAGGUCCUGUACACCACCUGUUGCCUCCCAAGUCACUGUGCCUUUCUGGCUUUCUUUACCUAUGUCCUGUAAAACGCCAGAUGAGGACAUAGAAAGAUGAACUUAAAGCUGAAAACUGAACUUAAAGCUGGAAAAAAUGAAGCAAUCUCAGCUAUGAUAGCUGUAAUAGAAAAAUGGAGUUUUCCUCAGUUUUUCUUCCUCAGAAUAAAUGGGAUGAUCCUGAUGGCUGUUUAAGUGGAGAGGAUUUGUUUGCAAGAACUCCUCUACAUCUUCAACAUUUUGUAGAGCAUUCCCUGCGAUGUGGAAAAUUCUGCUGGGCUAUUCCCUGAGGACACCUAUACCUUUCGUGUCCGGAAUUGGUGGGUUCUUUGUCUCACUGACUUCAAGAAUGAAGCCGCGGACCCUCGCAGUGAGUGUUACAGUUCUUAAAGGCGGUGUGUCCGGAGUUUGCUCCUUCUGAUGUUCAGAUGUGUUCGGAGUUUCUUCCUUCUGGUGGGUUCGUGGUCUCGCUGGCUCAGGAGUGAAGCUGCAGACCUUCGCAGUGAGUGUUACAGCUCUUAAGGUGGUGCAUCUGGAGUUGUUCCUUCCUCUCGGUGGGUUCGUGGUCUCGCUGGCUUCAGGAGUGAAGCUGCAGACCUUUGCGGUGAGUGUUACAGCUCAUAAAGGCAGUGUGGACCCAAAGAGUGAGCAGCAGCAAGAUUUAUUGCAAAGAGCCAAAGAACAAAGCUUCCACAGUGUGGAAGGGGACCCUAGCGGGUUGCCACUGCUGGCUUGCAGCCUGCUUUUAUUCCCUUAUCUGGCCCCACCCACAUCCUGCUGAUUGGUCCAUUUUACAGAGAGCCAAUUGGUCUGUUUUACAGAGAGCUGAUUGGUCCGUUUUGACAGAGUGCUGACUACCUCUUGAGAGUUUUCCAGGCUUUGUAAGGCUUUGGAGCUUUCCUGAGUCAGGGCCUUUGCACAUGCUAUGUCUUUUGCCAGAGGGGCUGAUUGCUCAGCAUUAUGCAUGCCUGGUUCCUUCCCAUCAUGUAGGUCUUCUGGUCAAGUACCCCCUCUUCAGAGAACGUUUCUCCCCCACCCUUCCCCUCCAGUGCGCACUGCCAAACCCUGCUCGCAACCACCCUGUUCUCUGUCCUAUGGUCACUCAGUUGACAUCACAAUCCGAAAUAUUAUUCAUUUCCCUUUCUGGGAAUAAACAUUACAGGAAUAAUCAUAGUUGUAGAAUGAGAUUUGUAUACAAGGCUGCCUAUGUCUGUGUUUUUAUAAUGGCGAAAUAUUAGAAUCAGCUUAAACAUUGACAAAUAUGUGUAAGGCUCAGUAAAUUACAGUAUAUCUUGAGGGAAGAGCAUUAGUGCAAAGACAUUAAAAUUUUGUUGUUCACGAAUGAUUGUUGGGCACAGUAGCUCAUGCCUAUAAUCCCAGUACUUUGGGAGGCCAAGGUGGGUGGAUCACUUGAAGCCAGGAGUUCAAGACCAGCCUGGCCAACAUGGCGAAAUUCCAUCUCUAGUAAAAACACACAC
rnacentral:lncRNA from 1 species